GUGAAGCCAAAAGAAAGUGCAGAAUUUGGUAGGAAGAAACUAGUUUCAUGAGCUUGGAAACUAAAACAGAGGAUGAAGAUUCAUUCAACCUAGUUAAUUUGAAGGUCUUAUCAUACAACACAUUGGGAACGAAGGACCAAUGGAAAUGUCUGUUUACAGUGUGCAGUUUACAUAAUUUGUGAUAGUUAGGAGAUCAUAGAAGUGAUCAAA